AUGGCUAGUAAUUGGAGUUUCAGACAAUUUGGGGAGGUAAUUUGUAGCCAAUAUCCUUGGGGUUUGCUUGAUGAAGUGGUAUACAAAUACUAUGAUGGAGAAAAGAAAUGGGUGACAGUUAGUAAUGAUGAAGAGCUAGCUACAAUGUUUGUUAGGCAUAAAGAGAAAGAUAAUUUUCAUGUUAGGCUGCAAGUUGAUGUGCUUGAGCAGGCAUUUGGACCUAGGAUGAUGGGUGCAACAUCUCGGGGAGAACCAAGUCGUCGUAAUGGCAUCUCUAGCCAGAACAGUUCAGUUGGUGCAUGGCGACGUGGUGGCUCAACAAGUGUUGGCAAUAGCAGUAGGGUCCCCCUUGAAGUGGAGCCUGAUGACUACAAUGCUAGGGUUGAUGAAGAGAAACUAUAUUCUGAUGUUAUUCGGAAUUUACGACGGGCACCUCGGGCUGAUAACCAAGAUGAGGCUCACAAUGCAGUCCGUGUGGAUGAUGACGCGGUGGGUGAGGACGAAGACCUUGCAGUUGUUGAAUGGGACCCUUUGAACCCUCAUAUGGAAGAAGGUACAGUUUUUGCAUCCUUGAAUGAGUGUAGAAAUGCACUUGUGACAUACUGCGUCAAGGUAGAACGUACAUUCAAACUUGACAAGAGCGAUCAAGUACGUUACAGAGUGCAGUGUCCGACUGAGGGUUGUCCAUGGAGGCUGCUCGCAUCUAAAAUGUGA
rnacentral:rRNA from 1 species